rnacentral:lncRNA from 1 species
UCAUUUUUCGCAUUUGUAAACACAAUAUAAGAUUUCCCCAGUCCAGUGAGCAGACUACACAAUAUGAGGGUAAUAACAGUUCCUGCAGGGAAGGAAGAUCUUCUAUAACUGCUGAACAGUUUAAAUUGAAUAGGCUGGAAAGAACAUUGAUUCUCAAUAAUGAAAUCUCCCGGAUUGAGCAAGUAGUUGCUGUAUUUUCUCUCUUCUAUAUAUUCAGGAUUCCUUCUUCAUUUUUCCCAGCAAAGUACACUCCUCUGGUUCUGAAUCCAUAGUUUCAACCAACCAAGAAUGGAAAAUAUUUUUUAAAAGUUGCAUCUGUACCAAAUAUAUGCAGACUUUCCUUGUCACUUCCUGAAGGAUACAAUAUAACAGCUACUUUCACAGCAUUUACUACAUUGUAGUAGGUAUUAUAAGUCAUCUGUGGAUUAUUUUAAGUAUAUAGAAGGAUGUGUGUGUAGGUUCUAUGCAAACAUUACACCAUUUUACGUAAGAGAUUUCAGCAUCCUUGGAUUUGUUAUCUGUGGGGGUCCUGGAAUCAGUUUCCUGCAGAUCUCAAAGGAAGACCAUAAUGUUUACAUUUGCUAUGACAGCCUUAGACCCCAAUUUCUCCUGGUUGCCCCACCUACUGAAGUCCUAUCCUGGUGAGUGAUGGUUAUGUACAUAACACAUUCAAUUGGAAUUUUUUUGAAAUAUGCUUUUCUUAGAUCAGGAACCUGCAGCAUGUUGAUUUCAGUCCCCAAGGUAUCAGACUUCUCAAAAUGACAAUAUUGCCACUAAUUCUUUUUCACAACAUGAUUAAAGUUCCCAUUUUCCAUGAAACAUUUUUCCAAUACACAGCAGUUGGUAAAGCAGACUGCAAGGUCAGCUGCAGGAAAAUGAGUUUAGACACUGAGCUGUCCCUUAAUGGACAUUGUGAUAAUCAGGAUGGGUGAUAAUAUGGGAAGGGAUCACUCAUAGGCAUGACAAGGGAAGAGGGUCCACUAGCAUCUUCAUUGUACCUAAGACAGGCUGAGUUUUCAGUUUGGAAAUCUGAUGCCUCAGGCAGGGCAGGGCAGACAAAUGUUCCCAGUCAGGGUGUAACUGCACUGGCUCACAAGAGUCUUCCAGGAUGGCUGGAGUAGACCCCCAUCAAUUUCACAUCUUGAUUAAUUGCUCAUGUAAUUA